UCAAAGCCCAACGGUCUCCAUGGGAACGGGAAAUCCUCCGUCCUCCACGGGCAUCGUUUCACAUUGCGUGAGUUUAGUUUUCCCUUUGGCGACAGAUCUCGUUCAGAAUUGGAAAAAUUACUCAUAUUUGCUGACAAUUUUCAACAGCAGUUCUGAGGAAGAGUAAUAUUGAACUCAAAAUGUUAAAAGCGUCUGUCUCCACACAGGCUGCCAGACCUGCAGAAAGACUUUUGAUGGUGGUGCCUCCCCACUGUGCCUUGGCGGUGGCAGCUCCAAGCUUCAGUGCAUCCCACAGCACGUAGUUCUGGACUUCAGAAUGUGCUAGUCUGCAACCCUUGGUCGAGGUCAACUCCUGCCUCUGGAAGACCAACAAAUUUUGGGCAGACCAAAGAGCGUCUUUCACCGAGUUGUUGUUCGAGAGGCGCAGUCAAUUUUUGUCUCAGCGUGUAUCCGAGGGAACAGUCCAUGGAGCAUAGAGUGCUGGGUCCCGGAGCUGCUCGGGACGAACCAUAACAAAAACCAUAUCAUCUCUCUCCAGACCAUUUUUUGCAAAGGCACAUUCCAGAAGAUGUGUGACAGUCUACUCGCCAGUGCAGCCUCUUCAAGGACAGCAUGUGACAUGGCACAGAUACUGGGUAUGCAUGAAAGUUCUGACAGGCAAUGCCCUUCUCACCACCAGCCCAGCUAUAUCUUGUGCUUAUUGGAAAGUUCUGGCAAUGAGGUAUUCUGCCAGAUGAUUUUGACAGUCUGCUCAGGGAACUAUACGACAGAACCCACCCUCUCCUUUUCACGCAGGGUCUCAAAGAUGCUACGUGCUGACCUCUUCCUGCUGGACUUGUGGUCAAAGGUGUUUUUAUUUCCAGAGUUCUCUACAAAGGACUGACAAUACGGAAUGGUCCAACUACUUGGAGUGUUCCGUGGUGCCUCAGCCAGACCUGUCCUUCACAAGUUGAACCUCAGAACAUAGUGAGAUUUGGCAUUUGCAUACCGAAGGUCUACGCACAAGCUUGAUGUGGCCACACACAAAGGUGGCCAUCAGGAUGAGGAUAAUGGGUACGGUUUCCCCCCUCUUAUCUCGAGAUUUGUACAUGAUGCACCUGUGGACAUGGUCCAUCUUUGACCUCCAGACGAAAGCGCAGGUUCAGGGAAUGAGCCAGACUUCUCAGCAAUACUGAGAGUACCUCACACCUGAUGACCAGGUUUUUACCUGUAAUGGAAAGGGAGCAGUGCUCCCAUAAGCCCUGUUUGUGCCUCGCUUUGCUGAUGUGUGUCUCCCAAGUUUUUGUACAGACCCUGGCCCCUCGAAACCAUAUUCCCAGCACCUUCAGUAAUCUGUCCUGAAGGUGAACGGAUAAAGGAUCAGUCGGCCCAGUUCCCAAAGAACGUGGCCCUGCUCUUGUAAGAAGAAAUGUUCGUAUCAACUACUUGAACUCUUUGGUUCUGAAUGAUGACCGUGUGGAAUAUCAAUGAAUAAUACAUGAAUUAGUCACUUUACAGAUACGUUAAAAUUAUAGGUUUGUGAAUAUUUGCCAUAGAUAUAUUAAAUUUGGUCCUAAAAUGUGAUUGAAAUGGUUCUUUUGGGAAAAUAACUGCUGGAAUGUUGUUGAAUUAAGUUUUUGAAGUACAGUUCUUUACUGACUAUCCCCUUUACUGGGAUAUCUGUUAAUUUGUCUUCCACAUAAUGAGUAAAAUUAUAUUGUUCACAAGUUAGUGGGAUCUUGGACCUGGUUUUUUUUCUGUUCCCAAUUUCACAAUGUGCAACCAGAUGUAAGAUAAUUCAGAUGAAUGUAGCAUUUAUGAAUAGAAAGCUUCAGAACAAUCUUCUUUGUUUCAGAGUUCACCAGUAAAUUAUACAAAUUUUGCAUAUGUGGUGCAGACAGAUGUACAGUUGUUGACAAUUCACAAUCAAACUUGCUGAUAAUCUCUAUGUUUUGAUAGAAUAUAUUCAUCAAUUUGUCUAACUCCUCAAUAAUGAACUAUCCAACAAUUUGUGUUAUACAAUUUUAUGUUCGUCAUUUACACCAUAUCGUCUAUCAUAGUGGGGCAUCAUAUUUUGUGAUAUUGUUGAACAUUUUCUUAUAAGCACAAGGCACCAUUAGGUUUUAUCGAGAGUCAUGUGGCCAUGGAUACGUACUCAAUGUCUUAUCUAGUUAAAAUAUCCUCAGAAGAACUGACUGAAAUCUUACUUAAAUAUUUAUAGUUCUGUCAGACUAUUUUUCAAUUCUCCGCUUGCCCAAGUAUUAUCACUAAGCAAGGGUGUGCACGUAUUCAGGUCAUACUUGAUAUUAAUGUUGUUCAGCAAUUGGGCAAAUGGGAAAGCUAUCUAUCACGAGCAUCCACAGUCUGUUUAUCUUGGUGAUCUUCAAGUCCGCACCUUUACUUAGCACCAUCCACAGCUUGAGUGCCCAAUUCAGUUUCUCACUCCUAAUUUCGCAAUUAUUACCAAAUUCUUCUUUUAUAUAUCGAAUGUUAAUGAAUCCUGAGCAGAAUUUCAGGUUAAAUUAGAACUGCAGGACAUAGGAAAUGGCUACAAAGUUUGAGGUGUCAUAAAAAAAUUAUUGACAAAAAUGCUGAACUCAUUAAAGACAAGUGGAGCUGGUGGUGCCUACAGGGAAAAAAAUGACUGAGUUGUGAAUCAAGGUAUUGUUGUGAAUUGCAUGGUUUUAAUGUUGAUGAGUGUCACUUUCGCAAUUUGCCCAGAAGUGAGAAGUCUGAUCAUUGUUGUGUGACCUUGCUUUUUUACUUGACGUUUCCAAUGAAGCCAUUUUCUUUCACAUAUUGUGAUGACACCCUGUCAAUUGCCUGUCUUUUCCCCAAAUCUGCUCUCUUUCAGCUUCAUGACCUCAUUCUCAGACCUAGGACUCUGGCAAGUCCCCUCAAAAAUCUUCUAUUUAAGUGAGAUCACCUCUCAACUUUGUAAACUUGGUUGAGUAUACAACUUUGACUCAGAAGAGAAACCCCUAAUCCCAGCAACGAGCCAAGUGAUCAAAAAAGCAGACAGCAGAUGUUGGAAAUCUGAAACAAAAACAAAAACACAAAUAGCUGGAGAAACUCAGCAGUUCCGUAGUUAAAAAAAAAAGACUGACUCAAUGCUUUCAACAUGAUUUUACGCUGAAGAUUAAGAGCUUGGGUGGGGUGCAGUUUCAAAUUAAUGAUAGGUAGAUCGAGCCUUUAGAGAAAGAACAGCAGUUGGGCAGGCAAAGGAAUGGAUAGUGAUGAACGAGGGAGAAAUAAAAGCUGCAGGCGGAGAUCAUUAGUGGAUGAAAAUGGGUUGGCUGUGGUGAAAGCAGCUCACAUGCUGACAAGGCCUGGUGUGUCAGAGUGGGAGAAAGACACAAAAUGGAGCUCAAGCUGUAAAAUAUUGAACUUGGUGUUGUGUCCUGUAGGGGUGCAGGGUUCCACAGCAGAAAAUGAGAUGCUGUUCUUUCAACUUGCACUGAGCUUUGUUGUGGCACUGCUGCAAGCCCAAGACUGAGACAUAGGCCAGGAAACAUGGUUGCAUGAUUAAGUGACAGCCAAGUGAAAACUCGAGUUAAUUUUCAGUGUUCCUCAAAACGUUUGCCUCAUCUGCAUUUGGUCUCCCCACUACAGAGGCCACCCUGUUACCAACAAUGACGACAGUAGACUAGAUUGAGUCAAGUGCUGCUGCUUCACCUGUAAGGUGUGUCUGGCGGCUUGGGUGAUGAGGAAUGACGGAAGCAGAUAGAUGUGACACCUUCUGAUUCCAUGGGAGGGUGCUGUAGGAUGUUUGGGAGUGGAGGAGUAGACCGGGAGUGGAGGAGUAGACCAGGAUGCCCCAAAGGGUUCCCCGAUCAACAUUCACUGCAUGCAGAACUCUUCAUCAGUCGAAGACACUACAUGAGGUCUCACCACUGCUGUGAAGUUGAGAGCAGGAUUUCCCUUCAUGUCAGCUGCAGUCCCCUUGCCAUAAGCGAUCAACAAUGCCUUAAAAAUUUAUUCCAUUCCUGCUUCCUUGCUUUGUGAUUCAUGUUUAUGGGUACUCUAAUCCCACAGGCUUGUAGCAUCUCAACAUGUAAUCAACUUUUUGCGUUCCAAAACAAAGCACAUAUUUACCCCCCCGCCCCCUACAUACUCCACUGACUUGUUCCAUUAAUUUUACUUUUCAGAUAAACGAUGUCAAGUCUGCGAGUUGACAUUCAUUUUGGUGUCCUUUUACCAUCAGUGUUUCCAACUUUUCCCAAUAAAUGUGUUAA